GUGUCUUGAGUGAUCACUGAGAAGUUCAAGCCAUGUUUUGUGAGUACUCAACCCCAACAUCAAUGUGUAGCAGAAAAUAGCCCUUGCCAUCACUGCCAUUAAGGGUGUGAGCUGAACUUAUGCUCGUGUGGAGUUGAAAAAGCAGACAUCGGCUUCCCCAAGAGGGCAGGAGAAUUCACUGAGGAUGAGGUGGAAUGCCCUGAGGAUCACCAUGAUGCAGAAUCCACGCCAGUACAAGAACCCAGACUAGUUCCUGAACAGACAGAAGGAUGUAAAGGAUGGAAACUAUAGCUAGGUCCUGGUCUGGAAAACAAGCUCUGUGAAGACCUGGAGCGACUGAAGAAGAUUCAGGUCGAUAGAAGGCUAUGCCACUUCUGGGACCUUUGUGUCUGAGGCCAGCAUGCCAAGACCACUGGCUGCCAUGGCUGUACUGUGAGUGGAUUCAGGAAAAAGUA
rnacentral:lncRNA from 1 species